CCUACGGGUGGCAGCAGUGAGGAAUAUUGGUCAAUGGGCGCGAGCCUGAACCAGCCAAGUCGCGUGAAGGAUGACUGCCCUACGGGUUGUAAACUUCUUUUUUAAAGGAAUAAAGUGAGGCACGUGUGCCUUUUUGUCUGUACUUUAUGAAUAAGGAUAGGCUAACUCCGUGCCAGCAGCCGCGGUAAUACGGAGGAUCCGAGCGUUAUCCGGAUUUAUUGGGUUUAAAGGGAGCGUAGUUGGGUUGUUAAGUCAGUUGUGAAAGGUUGCGGCUCAACCGUAAAAGUGCAAUUGAUACUGGCAGUCUUGAGUGCAGUUGAGGUAGGCGGAAUUCGUGGUGUAGCGGUGAAAUGCUUAGAUAUCACGAAGAACUCCGAUUGCGAAGGCAGCUUACUAAACUGCAACUGACAUUGAUGCUCGAAAGUGUGGGUAGCAAACAGGAUUAGAUACCCGGGUAGUC
rnacentral:rRNA from 1 species